CGGUGACCGCGGCGCAGCCGUCCCGCGGCGUGUACGCCUCCGGUGGAAUCGAGCCUUGACAGACCUCAUCUCAAUCUACAUUGAAAAGAGGGGAAGGGGAACCACACAUUCAUUUUCUCGUAUCUGAGGCGUGAUUUACGAUCGCCCGGAGCCGUUUAUUAGGCGCUAAGAAUGUCUAUCAUACGAGUCUGUACGUAGCUCAUAUCGUAUCAAUUAUACCAGAAGAUUAUACCGAAAGCAAUGUUGGUUGUUCUUGGUUCCUACCCUGAGGAACGCUUUGGUGAGCCGGCGGCCAAGCGCAUUAUAGAGAACUUCCAGAAGGAGCUCUCCAGCAUCGAGGAAAGGAUCAUAACGAGGAACGCAAGUCUGGAUGUCCCGUACUGCUACCUGCAACCCUCAGAGAUCGAGAAUAGUGUGUCUAUAUGACUAGAACCACAAAGAUGUUCGCGACCGGAGGAGGAGUACCAUUCCUGUUUGAUAAUGCUCAUCAAUGCUGGGACAUCACUUCGAAAAUGUGCAACCUUGGUAUAUCUUGCCCUCAUAUUGAAAUCUGCCUCUCGUAUUUUACUAUUAACCAUUAACAGGCCACUAAAAUACUGUCAUACCAUUGACUGUCCAACCAGAUUAAUAAUCAUUAAGAUUCAUUAAGAUUCAUUCAGCGCCAGUAUUGUCAAAUAUUAGUUUGACAAUUUGGGAUUGACUCAGCAUGAGAGAGGACCCACUCACUGCAAGGGGCACCAGCUGGAUCUAGUUAUGUCCAAAGGUCUAAAUAUUUAUAUGAAAUUGGUCAAUCCGUCACUGCAAUUAGCCAUGGAAAAACAUUAAGAUAAUAAAUAUUACAAAUGUUUUAAUUCCGAAUGAUGUUGGGUGCCCAAAAUUAAAUUGGUUUUGUGUAAGAACAGAUAUAAUUGGGGCCCCUACUGUACCCCCCUCCAUUGUUAGAUUAUCAAUAUUUUCAUGUAGAGAAAUACUGACUGCAAAUUGGUAUAUGUUCGGUUAUACUACAAGAAUAACAAACAUCCUGUUACAGAUGCACAAUAUACAAAUAGAGGUUACCUAACUAAUUGUUGGUACUCAAUUUCAUCCCAUUGGAACUAAAUGAUGGUGGUUAGGGAUCUGUUACUAGAAUAUUCUUUAGUUAAGGUUGUGUUGCCUUUUAUACGUUAUGUUUUCAUCAGUAUAUUUGAAUAGCAUUUUAGUGAUUUACAUAGCUGUGUAUUCUGAAUCAGACUUUCGUUUAUCUUGCUACAAUAUUCUACUUCAGUGUUGGCUAUGGC
ensembl:lncRNA